UCCAAUACAAUUUAGAAAAAUUUUAUUUUCUAACCCCCUAGAAUGUAUCCACACUAGAGCUGUAUGAUCCGUCCCGUUCACAAAAAAGAGGAGGAAAAAAGAAAAAAAAAUCCAUGAGUAAAUAGGGCUUCCCUCUUUUGAUGAUUUUUUGAGAGAAAGUUCUAUGAUCUUCCUUUUGUAGGAUGCUAUAAACUAUGUUCAAAUGGUUGUCAGUUUUUCAUGAGCCUAAUGAUUUUUGUUGGGUUUUCAUCC
rnacentral:lncRNA from 1 species